GGGCCUAUAGCUCAGUGGUAGAGCAAUUGACUGCAGAUCAAGAGGUCACCGGUUCGAACCCAGUUGGGCCCU
rfam:Picea glauca, whole genome shotgun sequence.